rnacentral:lncRNA from 1 species
ACUUCCACAACUGCCGGUGCUGCCAGCAAAGUCACUUUUAACUACCAACGAUUAUCACAACCACCUUACUACUACUACUACUACUACUACUACUACUACUACUACUACUACUACUACUACUACUACUACUACAUAUAAUGAUAAUCAUCAUUACUAUGGUUUUGAUGAUACUCUAACUGCAGAUUUUCGGAACAAAUCCAAAUGCUUGACUACUGUUUAAAAACACAUUCAUAUAUUUAUUUAUAUAUGUUUAUUUAUAUUUACCUUUACAGCAUGUCGAGAAAAAAAGAAAACUAUAUUACCUUCCAGUAAAUGUUUAAGAAUAUCUAUGUUUUCUCUUCUUCUGAUAUUACGGUUAAAAAGUAGAAGAAAAAAAUAAUAAAAAGGUUGCAUAACAAUAACAAAGAGGAUACGUGUAUGAAUAUAUGAGAAGAAUUAGGGGAAAAAGAAGAGAAAAGAAAGCACAACAAGACAUAUACUUUACAAGAAAAGCACCAUGCUGUAAAGAUACAAACACAUACAUUUACGUACACACAGAUAAUAUAAAUAUAUAUAUGUAUAUAUAUAUAUGUUUGCAUUAACGGAUUUUGUCGUUCAGAUAAAAUGCACGGUCGUCAAAUAGAAGACGGAAGCUCGGAAUGGAAACUAGCACCAAACUGCCAAAUUUCUAUGUAAUCUUGUUUAUAUUACUAUCUACACUAGG